CCUACGGGCGGCAGCAGUAGGGAAUAUUGCUCAAUGGGGGAAACCCUGAAGCAGCAACGCCGCGUGGAGGAUGAAGGUUUUCGGAUUGUAAACUCCUUUUGUUAGAGAAGAUAAUGACGGUAUCUAACGAAUAAGCACCGGCUAACUCCGUGCCAGCAGCCGCGGUAAUACGGAGGGUGCAAGCGUUACUCGGAAUCACUGGGGGGAAAGAGCGCGUAGGCGGGUUAGCAAGUCAGAUGUGAAAUCCUAUGGCUUAACCAUAGAACUGCAUUUGAAACUGUUAUUCUAGAGUAUGGGAGAGGUAGGUGGAAUUCUUGGUGUAGGGGUAAAAUCCGUAGAGAUCAAGAGGAAUACUCAUUGCGAAGGCGACCUGCUAGAACAUAACUGACGCUGAUGCGCGAAAGCGUGGGGAGCAAACAGGAUUAGAUACCCUAGUAGUC
rnacentral:rRNA from 1 species